CCUACGGGAGGCAGCAGUGAGGAAUAUUGGUCAAUGGUCGGGAGACUGAACCAGCCAAGCCGCGUGAGGGAUGAAGGUACAGAGUAUCGUAAACCUCUUUUGUCAGGGAACAAAGGCGGGGACGCGUCCCCGGAUGAGUGUACCUGAAGAAAAAGCAUCGGCUAACUCCGUGCCAGCAGCCGCGGUAAUAGGGAGGAUGCGAGCGUUAUCCGGAUUUAUUGGGUUAAAAGGGUGCGCAGGCGGUCUGUUAAGUCAGCGGUAAAAGCCCGGGGCUCAACCCCGGCCCGCCGUUGAAACUGGCAGUCUCGAGUUGGAGAGAAGUAUGCGGAAUGCGCGGUGUAGCGGUGAAAUGCAUAGAUAUCGCGCAGAACUCCGAUUGCGAAGGCAGCAUGCCGGCUCCACACUGACGCUGAGGCACGAAAGCGUGGGUAUCGAACAGGAUUAGAUACCCUAGUAGUC
rnacentral:rRNA from 1 species